rnacentral:pre_miRNA from 1 species
AACUAUUUGCAUCGAAUUUGAAAGAAAAAGGUAUACGAGAGGAUAUCCCCUUGAGGGAUUAGAAUCCACUCCCUAUAAGCUCUAAUGGAUUAAGGUUGUGUUCGUUUGUAGAGCUUUACAACUUUCCACUCUCAUUUUCCGUGCACAUGCUU